UUAAUUAGCCAAAAAUAAUAUGUACUUACAAGCAAUAAUAUGUAUUUACACAUAAUUCAACGCUAGUUUUUAGAAGUGAUGGAUGGUUUAUUCAGGCAUGAAAAUUAUCCCUAGAAUGUGGGCCCUAUACAGCUGAAAGAUUUAAGAUUUGUGGUGAAGAAAGAAAUCCUCAAGCAUUUAAGAGUAUCUGAUUUUAUGUUAAGUCGGAAUGCAGCAGUAGUGUGUUUUGGUUAGGCCCUUCUACUGUAUGAUGUGUUCAGUGUAAGUAUGGGAAAGGCUGGUGAAGACUGUGGAUUUAUCUACAACAUAUACUGGGGCGUUUUGUGUGGGGAGGGUCCUAACACCUCAUGAAAUGAUAAAGAAGAACCAGGUAAGGCAGACGGGACAAGGGUAGGGACAGAGCCUCCUCUUCACUGCUGCAUCUCAGCCCCCAGCACGCAAAUCGUUUUGACCAGUUUGAGGCUGAGCUUAUAGGUUGGUUGAGUUGCUGGAGUAUGAGGUCUAGUAAUUUCCCUACUCCUGACAGUUUUUCCGUUCUAAUUGUGCUUUAUGUUCUUCAACUCUUGUGGAGAGGAGUUAAUUGGUUUUGAGACUUUCUCUGAUCACACGUGUAAUUAGUGACAAGGUGGAAAUAAAAGUAUGUUUAUCUAGACUAGUGUCGAGUAAUUUAAAGAUACAGAAAUGAGCGGCUACAGGUACAUAGUCAGUAUAUAGUCGGCCCUGCUAAGGUGGAAUAUCCUCUCUCAUACCUGGUACCAUGUGCUUCCAGGAGAAUGGGAUGUCUGAGUGGACCUCCACCACAUAGACUAGCAGAUUCUGCCGCAGCCUCGUGACCCCUGCACACAUCUAUAGAAUGUAAAGUGCUCCCAUAUGUUGAUUAUUUAAUUUAUGAAGCAUGGUAAAAACCUCAACAUAAACCAGGUAUCCCUGGGUUUGCUCCUGUGAACACACAGCUUCCUUUUACAUGUCUGACUCCUCGGGAGCUGUCCUAGGGACUUCUCACAGCUCCCUGCCGAUGUCUCCUGUCUCCUGGUCUCCAGCUUUCGGGGCCGCCCUGAGUCCUGAAGUCGGGAUGCCCGGUCCUGGGGUCCCCAUCCCACAUCUCCUCGUGAGGUGCUAAGUUAGUGUCACAUUCGCCUUCACAGCUGCCCGGUCACACAUCUAGAGUAGUGUGUCAGACCUGGA
rnacentral:lncRNA from 1 species